AUUUUAUAUUGGAAAUUUCCCCAGAUUAAUUUUUACUUGACAAAAUGCUGUAUCCCGAUGAAAAACAUUUUAGUUUUUCCCUAUUCUCUUAAAAUCUAAAAGUGUUUAAUGCUCCUAAGCCAUGUGUGCUAGCCUAGUUAUCCAAGCAAAUCACAUCCAAUAAUACUAUUCAAAAACCAAACCCAUAAGGAGCGGCAAAAUGCUGCAAUUUCUACAGGACAUCGUCGAUUGGUUCUUUCACUACUAUCGCUAUUUUUGGCUGGCAGCCAUUGUGGCCAUUCCGUAUCUUUCUUAUCGAUCCAAACAGAACGAUUUCAAUAUGCUGGAUGGCGUGAUAAUGUACACAAUUGUGUUCAUUGGAGCCUUUGGACUGAUUCAGGACGAGAGGCGGGGUCGUCCUCGUUAGCACAACCUGCUGAAAUAGCCCUCAUCAUCGAAGAGAUGCGAAAACCCGUUUAUCAGCUAGAGACACUCGACAACUAACCGAAAACAAAAAGUAAUUUCAAUUAAUGACUUGCCCCACAGAAGAGCCGCUUGAUUGAUAUGUAUUACGUAUUUCAUUUUUUUUGUGCUACCUUUCGCCGGCGAGAUUGUUGGCGAGGCCGAAACCCGCCAAUCCGACGAGGCAUAAAGUCAAGCUGCACACGAUUCCCUGCCACAUUUUUGCCAUGUAUAUGGAUAUUGUAUAUAUACAAUAGUAUAUGCUGUACACUUGCACCGAG